GCCCAAGUACCAAAGCGGUCUAAUGGAGCGGAUUGCAAAUCCGUACAAUCGUCAGUUCGAAUCUGACCUUGGGCUCCA
rnacentral:tRNA from 1 species